GUCUAUAUACGUAUAGCAUAUCAAUAAGCGGAGGAAAAGAAACUAACUAGGAUUCCCUCAGUAACGGCGAGUGAAGCGGGAAGAGCUCAAAUUUGAAAUCUUCAAGGUUCUACCUUGACGAAUUGUAGUUUAAAGAAGUGUUUUCUGUUGGAGUUUUGGUAAAAGUUCUUUGGAAUAGGACAUCAUAGAGGGUGAGAAUCCCGUAUUUGACCAUUAUUUCCAACUUUGUGAUACACUUUCAAAGAGUCGGAUUGUUUGGGAAUGCAGUCCAAAAUGGGUGGUAAAUUUCAUCUAAAGCUAAAUACUGGCGAGAGACCGAUAGCGAACAAGUACCGUGAGGGAAAGAUGAAAAGAACUUUGAAAAGAGAGUUAAACAGUACGUGAAAUUGUCAAAAGGGAAGCGUUUGACACCAGUGUUGUUUUCUCGAAAAUCAAUUAAAAAUGCUCGGGAUGUUGUGUUGUAUUGACUUUAUCAGCUUUCUGCACUUUUUUCUUAUCUUUUUUAAUGCACUUUUCGUUUAACAAGUCAACAUCAAUUUCUUUUGUUGUAAAAGGGUCAUUGGAAGGUGGCUUUCUUUUCGGAGAAAGUGUUUAUAGCCUUUGACUUCUGCAAUCGGAGAGAUUGAGGUCUGCAGCGUAGAUCCUUCGGGGUUAGAUGCAUUUGUGCUAAGUUAUAGCCUUUCAUAGACAACUUGUUGACUAUGAUCAGUCAUGUAGCUUACUCGCUUAUGUUAUUUUACCUACGCUUAGGAUGUUGAUCUGUAGUGCGUGCGC
rnacentral:rRNA from 1 species